rnacentral:rRNA from 2 species
UAAGUGCUGAAAGCAUCUAAGCACGAAACUUGCCCCGAGAUGAGUUCUCCCUGAGACUUAGAGUCUCCUGAAGGAACGUUGAAGACGACGACGUUGAUAGGCCGGGUGUGUAAGCGCAGCGAUGCGUUGAGCUAACCGGUACUAAUGAACCGUGAGGCUUAACCUUACAACGCCGAAG